CCGGAAACCCGGCGCCUUAAUGCAAUAAACAGGAAAUCGCGGGGAUGAUCUGGGUUCCGGGGGAAGUGGAAUUAUUUUUUACCAGCGAAGAGAUCAACUUCCACAUCCGGUGGUAACAGGGCCCUACACAGACCCGCACUGACCUGGAAAAGCUUCGGGAGCGGCGACGGGAAGGCAGCAGGAGGUGGUGCGGGGACCCGAGGCGCCUCGUACCCGGCCGGGCUGACGCGGCCCCGCUACACACAAAGCGCUUCAGCUGCACAGGGCGCUAUUUUCCGAAAAUGCCGCGUCUGGUCGGCGCCCAAAAUCCCCACCGAAAAGUCCCCCGUGCUGCGCGCGGAGGGACACAUGGUGUGCGAGUGAGUCAAGCUCCCAGCAUCCCUCCCGGACCCGGCCCUCUUCAGCUCAUCGCCCGAGGAUUUUCCGCCUCUGCCCUCGUCGGCAGAUCCUGCUCCUACCCACUCCCUAGCUGUGUUCCCGCGGGGAGAGAGGGGAAAGAGGGUCUGAUUUUUUAACGAAGGGAAAGAAAAUAUGCCAUUUCUAGCGCUUCAGCCACACAAAGAAAGCGGCGGAAUGAUCCGCUCUCGGCGACCGCAAGUCCCGGCUCGCCCGGCGCCUGCGCGGCAGCGGGGGUGGGAGCUGCGGACGGCCAUGUGCGCGGCGGAGAGGCCGGGUGGCCACCGAACCUUCCCGCCUGUUCUGCGGUGGGUAGGAGUUUGGAAACUAAUGUUCCUGUGCUAACCUUCGUGUCUCUGUGACAUGACUGUUGAAAGACGGAGAGUGCGGAAUCUUUGGAGUUUUAAGCUUGCCAACUGUGCGGCCUAGCAGAAUCCUGGGAGACGGAAGGACAGCCAAGAGGCUAGGAUUUACCUUUAAGUGUCCCUAGAUUCAACUAGGCAGACUGGGACGGGAGACGCUGUGAAGGUACCAGGGAAGGAACGAGUGAGGUUCCUUUUCCACUUUUUCAUAAACUCAACAGUCAGGUUCAUGACGAAGAUAUAGAUAUUUCUGUAGAUUUUUUCCCCAACAUUCUAAUUAUGCCUCAUGUUUCGUAGAUCCUAGUAACUGCUUGGAUUACUGCCACCUCAGAGGUAGAGAUCUGUUUUUCCGUGGCUGGAAUGCCAAAAAUUUUGUUGUAUUUUAUUAAGAAAGUAGCAAAAGUUUGGAGAUUUGCAAAGUUAAAAAAAAAAAAAGCAUUAUGAACUUAAUCUAGAUGUGAUUUGCUAAGGAACUUAAUAUAUUGAUAUGUUUUUCACAGGGGCGUCUGGGCAUGGCUUUCCCAACCUAGUAACUGCAACUUUUAGCAUCCUACAUGUAGGACUUGGGAAUAUGUGAGACAGCGCCAAGAAUUUAAUCCAGGAGAAUUGACAAGCUUAAAUGAAAUCCAUAUUGCCCACUGAUUUUGUGCAGCUUCAGAUAACCUGAAGCCCUCACUGGAAGCAGAUACUGCUACCAUGCUUCUUGUACAGCCUGCAAAACCGUGAGCCAAAUAAGCCGAACAUUCUAAGACACUGGGAUUACAUGAGUGUUAGCACUCUAUGACUUAAUGAGAAGUAGGUUUUUUGGAGAAAAAUGUACUUUCAGUAUGUAUAUUAUAUAUUUCAUGGUUAUUUUUAAAACUCGUGAGCAAUGCUGGAUACACACUACCAACUAUUACUUCCCUGACUGAGCCAAUUUUUCUGUAAAUGCAUCACAAAUGUGAAAGAUAAGGUAGGCCUGAAUUCUGGGGAAUGACAAUGGUGAAGGAAAGGCGAGACAGGUGCAAAAGACACUGCAGAACUCAGGCUCAAAAUCUCAUCCUUAACUCCUUCCCUCAUCCCACCAUGUUGAAUCAGAUGUCAAUAGCAAUUUUAUAUGGCAUUUUUUAAGCUUGCAAAAAGUUAUAAACAGAAAAUGUUCAUUUUAUCACUCCAUCACAGACGAAAAACAUGAAAUUAAGCUAGGAAACAUGUUCAGGUGAUUAGAGUAGAUAGAACAUAGACUAAAAACCAGUGAACUUAUAAAAAAAAAUCCCAUGAUGUGGACAAAAAAAAAGAACUUGUGGCUCCUCACUCCAACUCCUGUGACUCUCUCACCUUACCCCCACUGCCUUCAAGUUUUUUGUAGAAAGAGAAAUUUUGUAUGGAUUGAGUUUAAGAUGAUGCCAGAAUAUCAAGGUAGAAUUAUUAAACACACAAAAGCUAAGGUUUGGUACUCUGAAAAAAGGUCAGAAUUGGUGAUAGAAAAUUAGAAGUUACCCAUCCAUAGAAGGGUAAUAAAGCCAUGAGAGUGAAGGAAACCAGUGAGAGAGAAUAUUGAGAAAAGUACUGAAGGACAGAGAAGGAGAAGCGAAGGAGGAAAGCAAAUCAGCAUUUAUUGAGCAUCUGUUAAACUGUAUGGCAGCUGCUCUACAUUUACUAUCUCAUUUAUUCCUUUCCAUUUCCAAGGUAGCCAAUUUUAGCCUCACUUGAUAGACUGGCUUUGUAGACUCAAAAAGCAGUAAAAAGAACCAGCAUUCAAAACCAGCUUGACUCCAGUUUAUUCUGUGUACUACACCAUUCCUGGAGAGGCUAAGUGUGUGUUACAGAAGACCAUGGGGAGAAUUUAGCUCAAGUAAAGAUAAGCCCUGGGAAAAGACCAUUGGAUUUUUGUGUUUUUUGACUAAGGGGUUCCCAUAACAUAGCAGCACCUGCACUCCUGUCUUAACGCGUCUGUGAAUGUGGGUAAUCCAGACAAAUGUAAACGCCUGUCAAUAAGGGGGGAAAAAGUCAAGAUAGUAAAUGUAAAAAUUAGUAUAAUGAAAACAAACCAGUUAUUAAAUUCUAUCUAGAUACUCUUGCCAACCAAGCACUUCGAAUCUCAAGGCUUGAAUGAAGAAUAGCUUUUUUUUUCUCUGAGACACGGUCUUACUCUGUUGCCCAAGCUGGCGUGCAGUGGCAAGAUCUCAGCUCACUGCAGCCUGGAUUUCCCAUGCUCAGGUGAUUCUCCCACCUCAGCCUCCUUAGCAGCUAGAACUACAAGCGCAGCCACCAUGCCUGGCUAAUUCUGUGUAUUUCUGGUAGAGAUGGGGUUUUGCCAUGUUGCCCAGGCUAGUCUUGAACUCCUGAGCUCAAGCGAGACACCCACCUUGACCU
rnacentral:lncRNA from 1 species